rnacentral:rRNA from 1 species
CCCGCUGAACUUAAGCAUAUCAAUAAGCGGAGGAAAAGAAACUAACAAGGAUUCCCCUAGUAACUGCGAGUGAAGCGGGAAGAGCUCAAAUUUGAAAUCUGGCGUGCCUCUGGCCGUCCGAGUUGUAGUCUGAAGAAGCGUUUUCUGUGUUGGACCGUGUAUAAGUCUCUAGGAACAGGGCGUCAUAGAGGGUGAGAAUCCCGUCUUUGACACGGACUACCAAUGCUUUGUGAUACGCUCUCAAAGAGUCGAGUUGUUUGGGAAUGCAGCUCAAAAUGGGUGGUAAAUUCCAUCUAAAGCUAAAUAUAGGCGAGAGACCGAUAGCGAACAAGUACCGUGAGGGAAAGAUGAAAAGCACUUUGGAAAGAGAGUUAAACAGUACGUGAAAUUGCUGAAAGGGAAACGCUUGAAGUCGGUCGUGUCUGCCAGGACUCAGCCUUGCUUCUGCUUGGUGUACUCUCUGGUUGGAUGGGCCAACAUCAAUUUUGAUCGUUGGAGAAAGGCUUUGGGAAUGUGGCACCUUCGGGUGUGUUAUAGCCCUUUGUCGUAUACAACGGUUGGGAUUGAGGACCGCAGCACGCCUUUAUGGCCGGGGUUCGCCCACGUACGUGCUUAGGAUGUUGGCAUAAUGGCUUUAAGCGACCCGUCUUGAAACACGG